UACGUAGGUGGCAAGCGUUGUCCGGAAUUAUUGGGCGUAAAGCGCGCGCAGGCGGUCUUUUAAGUCUGAUGUGAAAGCCCACGGCUCAACCGUGGAGGGUCAUUGGAAACUGGGAGACUUGAGUGCAGAAGAGAAGAGUGGAAUUCCACGUGUAGCGGUGAAAUGCGUAGAGAUGUGGAGGAACACCAGUGGCGAAGGCGACUCUUUGGUCUGUAACUGGACGCUGAGGCGCGAAAGCGUGGGGAGCAAACAGGGAU
rnacentral:rRNA from 1 species